GCCCUAACAACACACAACAUUCCAGGAAUGUACUACCAAAGUUCUAUCAAUAUUUGAAUGUCCUGGACAUUUAGGGAACAUUCGGUGAACAUCUGUUUAAAUUAUUCCUGGAAUGUUACCAUAAGACAUUCUGUGAACAUACUACCAAUGUUCCUAUAUUUUAAGUUGCGAAAUAAUACAUACGUGUAACAGAUACAACAUUACUUAUAACAUACCAGACAAACUAAGUGACACUUUAGGCCUACAGUGCAAUAAUAUGUCAAAUUUAAAGAGUUUCCCAAGUUCAAUUAAUACAAUAUUAUAAACAUACAAAUGUAAUAAAAAUUAUUGUUCGCGAAUAUUCAAUUUGGAAUGCGAUUUUGUUAAUAAAAAAAAUACUUAUAACUUAUGCAAAACCCAAGAGAGGCAUUUAUAUUUAUUUCUUUUGCGUUCAUUUUCAAAUUCGCCGUGCAUAUAUUUUUGUGCAUGGCGCUUGAGAGGGCAUCACGUGACUAAAAACGACCAACCAACGACCUCGCUUCGGCCAUCUUGGCAUCUUCAUCUUGGCCACCUUGCUUUGCCGUGGGUGGGUGGAUCGUUGUUAUUUGUGCUUUUUAAGAAUAUUUUUUUAAUUCGGAUACUUUUAUAAUAGCUUUAAUAGUAUUAUUAACAUAGUGAAUAAAAUGGUGUCCUGUUUUUAACGCAGUUGGAGUAGCAGAAACAAAUAAUGUAGAUAAAAAAAUCUGCAGGAAUAACGUUUCAAUUAUGACAGAAGCUCCAAACAAAUGACUGUGAAUGAAAAGCCCUAUUAAAAGCUUUCCAGAAGAUCCUGCGAAGAAGACAUGAAGUAUAGAUCAGAUUUGUUAAUAGAGGAGUAUGUUCAAAACACUUUUUAGAAAAAGAUAUUGACAGAACUUCACUUUCAUCUGUUCGUUUAAGAGACUGUGCUGUUCCAAUAGCUUAUGUCACACAGAAUCAGCUGAGAGAAGUGGUCUACAAAAAACCAGAAAGGAAACGGAAUAUGUGGCUACGAAAAGCAAAAGAAAGGUUUACAAAGCAAAUGUGACACAUUUUUUUAUAAUAUUUAGGAAUGUCAG
rnacentral:lncRNA from 1 species